rnacentral:rRNA from 1 species
CCUACGGGUGGCUGCAGUGGGGAAUAUUGCGCAAUGGGCGAAAGCCUGACGCAGCGACGCCUCGUGAGGGAUGAAGGUCUUCGGAUCGUAAACCUCUGUCAAGAGGGAAGAAACCCUUGGGUUCGAAUAGGGCCCUUGGCUGACGGUACCUCAAAAGGAAGCACCGGCUAACUCCGUGCCAGCAGCCGCGGUAAUACGGAGGGUGCAAGCGUUAAUCGGAAGCACUGGGCGUGAAGGGCCAGUAGGCUGUGAAAGCCCACGGCUCAACCGUGGAACUGCGUUGGAUACUGCCAGACUUGAGUGUCGGAGAGGGUGGCGGAAUUCCGGGUGUAGGAGUGAAAUCCGUAGAUAUCCGGAGGAACACCAGUGGCGAAGGCGGCCACCUGGACGACAACUGACGCUGAGGAGCGAAAGCGUGGGUAGCAAACAGGAUUAGAUACCCCGGUAGUC